rnacentral:rRNA from 1 species
UACAGAGGUCCCAAGCGUUGUUCGGAUUCAUUGGGCGUAAAGGGUGCGUAGGCGGCGCGGUAAGUCGGGUGUGAAAUCUUGGAGCUUAACUCCGAAACUGCAUUCGAUACUGCCGUGCUUGAGGACUGGAGAGGAGACUGGAAUUUACGGUGUAGCGGUGAAAUGCGUAGAUAUCGUAAGGAAGACCAGUGGCGAAGGCGGGUCUCUGGACAGGUUCCUGACGCUGAGGCACGAAGGCCAGGGGAGCAAACAGG